CGCGGCCUAUCAGCUUGUCGGUGGGGUAGUGGCCUACCAAGGCGACGACGGGUAGCCGGCCUGAGAGGGUGACCGGCCACACUGGGACUGAGACACGGCCCAGACUCCUACGGGAGGCAGCAGUGGGGAAUAUUGCGCAAUGGGCGGAAGCCUGACGCAGCGACGCCGCGUGGGGGAUGACGGCCUUCGGGUUGUAAACCUCUUUCAGCAGGGACGAAGCGGAAGUGACGGUACCUGCAGAAGAAGCACCGGCCAACUACGUGCCAGCAGCCGCAGUAAUACGUAGGGUGCAAGCGUUGUCCGGAAUUAUUGGGCGUAAAGAGCUCGUAGGCGGUCUGUCGCGUCGGCUGUGAAAUCCCGGAGCUCAACUCCGGGUCUGCAGUCGAUACGGGCAAACUGGAGUACUGCAGGGGAGACUGGAAUUCCUGGUGUAGCGGUGAAAUGCGCAGAUAUCAGGAGGAACACCGGUGGCGAAGGCGGGUCUCUGGGCAGUAACUGACGCUGAGGAGCGAAAGCGUGGGGAGCGAACAGGAUUAGAUACCCUGGUAGUCCACGCCGUAAACGUUGGGCGCUAGGUGUGGGGCUCAUUCCACGAGUUCCGUGCCGCAGCUAACGCAUUAAGCGCCCCGCCUGGGA
rnacentral:rRNA from 1 species